AGCCCGCACUAAUCCAUGCGUACUCGCCCACACAAGGGCCGCCCCCCCCGGGGGGCGGCAAAUUUUCAGCGCGAGUGGGAAAUUCGGUGGUCUACCCCGUCCCGCCCCCACGGUCCGCUGUGGGGGUAGUAGCCGCCGGCGGCGACAGCCUGCUGCCGCCCGCCGGCUCCUCCUGAGAGGUUUCCUGGGCGUGAAAGCGCCGGGCAGUUCCACAAGAAAUUACUGCCGGACUCCCCCCCUCGCGGGAAGGGUCCGGCAAUGGGAGCGUUCUGCGGACGAUUGGCCCGGCGGCCCUCGCGGCCGCCGGACUGUUGAGUGCAAUGCAUGGAUCCCAGCCGCCUGGCUGGGAAACUCGAUACCGAUCAUUAUGCCGGCU
rnacentral:RNase_P_RNA from 2 species